rnacentral:rRNA from 1 species
GAUGAACGCUGGCGGCGUGCCUAAUACAUGCAAGUCGAGCGAACAGACGAGGAGCUUGCUCCUCUGAUGUUAGCGGCGGACGGGUGAGUAACACGUGGAUAACCUACCUAUAAGACUGGGAUAACUUCGGGAAACCGGAGCUAAUACCGGAUAACAUGUUGAACCGCAUGGUUCAACAGUGGAAGACGGUCUUGCUGUCACUUAUAGAUGGAUCCGCGCCGCAUUAGCUAGUUGGUAAGGUAACGGCUUACCAAGGCAACGAUGCGUAGCCGACCUGAGAGGGUGAUCGGCCACACUGGAACUGAGACACGGUCCAGAGUCCUACGGGAGGCAGCAGUAGGGAAUCUUCCGCAAUGGGCGAAAGCCUGACGGAGCAAGGCCGCGUGAGUGAAGAAGGUCUUCGGAUCGUAAAACUCUGUUAUUAGGGAAGAACAAAUGUGUAAGUAACUAUGCACGUCUUGACGGUACCUAAUCAGAAAGCCACGGCUAACUACGUG